GAGUGAGCAUGGCGUAAUGGUUUGAGUGUUAGACUACAACUCUGGGAACCAGGGUUUGAUUCCCAGCUCAGCCA